rnacentral:rRNA from 1 species
UACGGAGGGAGCUAGCGUUGUUCGGAAUUACUGGGCGUAAAGCGUACGUAGGCGGUUAUUCAAGUCAGAGGUGAAAGCCCGGGGCUCAACCCCGGAACUGCCUUUGAAACUAGAUAGCUAGAAUCUUGGAGAGUCAGUGGGAAUUCCGAGUGUAGAGGUGAAAUUCGUAGAUAUUCGGAAGAACACCAGUGGCGAAGGCGACUGACUGGACAAGUAUUGACGCUGAGGUACGAAAGCGUGGGGGAGCAAACAGG